CAGAACUCGAGGUUUGCUGUAUUUAUUUCUGAUUGUCUGCUGCUACAAAUAAAAUCCCUCCAGAUAUAAAUUAACCAUGUCAAUGGACACAGAAAUCGAUGACUCACUCUAUAGAAUGGUUUCAAAGACAGCAUAUGAGAAGAAAACAGAAGAAAAUUAGGAAAAAUUGGUUUCUAAAGGCAGCUUCCACUCAAAAAUUAUUGUUGCUGUUGCUUCUUCUCAAUCUUUCUUUCUCAUCUGAGGUUAUGUGUGUGUAUUUGUAUGUGUGUGUUUGACAAGAAUUGUAAUGUUUUGGUUUGUUUUGCAAGUGAAAUAAAAAUGGUAUAAAAUAGAAAUAAAGUUAAUAAAACAAAUGAGAUAUUAAAUUAAAAUUUAAUUUAAAAACUUUCAAAUCAAAAAGUUGCAUCCCAAAAGGAUGAACGAAGAAUAACAGAAGCAAGAAGAAACAAAUACAAAAUCAGUAUAAAUAAUGAUGAUGAUGAUGACCAAAACAUAAAACAAGCAAAAAAUUAGGUAAAAACCAAUAUCACAGAAAAUCAAAUAUAGUCAGCAAACAAAUGGAAACAAGAAAAACAAAUAAUAAAAUAAUCAAACAACUGUAGCAACAAAAACCAAAUUAAAAAUACGACUAAAACAGUAUCAAAAGUGAAGUAUAAAUCUUCCAUUCUCUGUUGUAAAAAAAAAUAAAAUUGUUUCAGAUUUUGAUAGAAGGUUAAUUAUGUUGAGGAGAGAGGGGUUUAGUACUAUUGACCCCAGUACAAGACUGGUACUUUAUUUUAUUGAUCCUGGAGAGAGAGAGAGAGAGAGAGAGAGAGAGAGAGAGAGAGAGAUGAAAGAAUGAAAGGUAAAGUUGACUUCCGUUAGAUUUGAACUCAGAUCAUAAAGAGCCAGAACAAAUACCAAAAGGUAUAUUGUCUGAUAUUUCAAUGAUUCUGCUAAUCCAGCACCCUUAUAAUAAUGAUAAUAAUAAUAAUAAUAAUAAUAAUAGUCCUUUCUACUAUUGGCACAAGGCCUGAAAUUCUGGAGGAGAGGACUAGUCAAUUACAUCACUCCCAGUGUUUCAGUGGUACUUAAUUUAUCGACCCCAAAAGGAUGAAUGGCGAAGUCAACUUUGGCAGAAUUUUUAACUCAGAACAUAGCGAUAAAGCAUUUUAUCCAGCAUGCUAACGAUUCUGCCAGCUCACCAUCUUCACAAACGAUUCUGUCAGCUCGCCAUUUUUGCUAACAAUUCUGCCAGCUAAUCAUCAUCAUCAUCAUCGUCAUCAUCAUCAUCAUCAUCCUUUCUGCUGUAGGCCCAAGGCCUGAAAUUUGGUGCUGAAAGGAUGAAAGGCAAAGUCAACUGUGAUGGAAUUUGAACUUCAAAUGUAAAGUCGGAUGAAAUGCUACUAAGCAUUUUGCCUGACAUGCUAACAAUUCUGCCAGCUUGACACCUUAAUAAUGAUAAUUCUUUCUAGUAUAGAUAGAAAGCCUAAAAUUUGUGGGGAGGGAGCUAGUCAAGAGGGCUUCCUUUAGAUUAAUAAUCCUUCUAUAGGCACAAGGCCUGAGAUUUUAGGGGAAGGGGCUAGUCAAUUGCAGUGACCUAGUACUUGACUGGUACUUAUUUCAUUGACUCUAAAAGGAUGAAGUCAACCUCAGUGGAGUUUGAACUCCGAUCAUAAAGAUCCAAAAUAAAUGCUGCAAAGCACUUUGUCCAGUGUGCUAAUGAUUCUGCCAGUUUGCUGCCUUUAUUCUAAUAAUUGUUUCUUCUAUAUGCAUAAGGCCUAAUUUUUUUUUU